rnacentral:rRNA from 1 species
UACAGAGGUCUCAAGCGUUGUUCGGAUUCAUUGGGCGUAAAGGGUGUGUAGGUGGCGCCGUAAGUCGGGUGUGAAAUUUCGGAGCUUAACUCCGAAACUGCAUUCGAUACUGCGGUGCUUGAGGACUGGAGAGGAGACUGGAAUUCAUGGUGUAGCGGUGAAAUGCGUAGAUAUCGUAAGGAAGACCAGUGGCGAAGGCGGGUCUCUGGACAGUUCCUGACGCUGAGGCACGAAGGUCAGGGGAGCAAACGGG